UACGAAGGGGGCUAGCGUUGUUCGGAUUUACUGGGCGUAAAGCGCACGUUAGGCGGUUUGUUAAGUGAGAGGUGAAAUCCCAGAGCUCAACUCUGGAACUGCCUUUCAUACUGGCAAGCUAGAGUCCGGAAGAGGUAAGUGGAACUCCUAGUGUAGAGGUGGAAUUCGUAGAUAUUAGGAAGAACACCAGUGGCGAAGGCGGCUUACUGGUCCGGAACUGACGCUGGAGGUGCGAAAGCGUGGGGAGCAAACAGG
rnacentral:rRNA from 1 species